rnacentral:rRNA from 1 species
CUUAAAGUGAUCGGCGGAGUUAGGGCAUACUCUAAGCGUAGUAAUAUUCUUCUCGCUUCUGUAGUUGUCCUGGCGGCUUGCCGUUAAACCCCUAUAUUUCUAGUGGUUGACCUCGGAUUAGGUAGGAAUACCCGCUGAACUUAAGCAUAUCAAUAAGCGGAGGAAAAGAAACCAACAGGGAUUGCCCUAGUAACGGCGAGUGAAGCGGCAACAGCUCAAAUUUGAAAUCUGGCCCUAGCGGUCCGAGUUGUAAUUUGUAGAGGAUGCUUUUGGUUAGGUGCCUUCUGAGUUCCCUGGAACGGGACGCCAGAGAGGGUGAGAGCCCCGUACGGUUGGACACCGAGCCUCUAUAUAGCUCCUUCGACGAGUCGAGUAGUUUGGGAAUGCUGCUCUAAAUGGGAGGUAAAUUUCUUCUAAAGCUAAAUACCGGCCAGAGACCGAUAGCGCACAAGUAGAGUGAUCGAAAGAUGAAAAGUACUUUGAAAAGAGGGUUAAAUAGCACGUGAAAUUGUUGAAAGGGAAGCGUUUGCGACCAGACUUUUUCCAGGCGGAUCAUCCGGUGUUCUCACCGGUGCACUUCGCCUGGUUUAGGCCAGCAUCGGUUCUCUUAGGGGGAUAAAGGCCUGGGGAACGUAGCUCCUUCGGGAGUGUUAUAGCCCCUAGCGUAAUACCCUUCGGGGGACCGAGGAACGC